rnacentral:rRNA from 1 species
AACGAACGCUGGCGGCGUGGAUAAGACAUGCAAGUCGAGCGAAAGUCUGUGGGUAGCAAUAUUUGCAGAUUUUAGCGGCGGAAGGGUGCGUAACACGUGGGUAAUUUACCAUAAAGACCGGAAUAACUUGCUGAAAGGCGAGCUAAUACUGGAUGUGACUGCGGGAAGGCCUCUUCCUGUUGUCAAAGCUGGGGACCGCAAGGCCUGGCACUUUUUGAUAAGCCCGCGGCCUAUCAGCUAGUUGGCGGGGUAACGGCCCACCAAGGCAAAGACGGGUAGCUGGUCUGAGAGGACGACCAGCCACACUGGAACUGAGACACGGUCCAGACACCUACGGGUGGCAGCAGUCGAGAAUUUUUCACAAUGGGCGAAAGCCUGAUGGAGCGACGCCGCGUGGGGGAUGAAUGGCUUCGGUCCGUAAACCCCUGUCAUUCGGGAGCAAUGCCUGCGGAAUAACACUUCGCAGGUUGAUAGUACUGGAAGAGGAAGGGACGGCUAAACU